rnacentral:lncRNA from 1 species
UUAUUUAUUUAUUUAUUUAUUUUAAUUUGAAUCGUGUUGUUUGACUUUUUAACUUAAAUAAUAGGGUUGCUGGUAUAUCCCUGUAUACAUUGAGUGCUUUCAGUCUUUGUACCUUUGUUCCUUUAUUAGCACAAUGCUAUAAUUUUAAUGUUUGCAUAAAAUACGAAUUUUGGGGCCUGAUCAGGCAUAUCAACAUUGUCUUUUUGAAGCCAUAACCUUCCACUCAUGCUGUUUUGUUUUCUUUUCCAGGCCUAAAAUUUUCAACAUGCUGGGUAAAGCAUUUCAAUAUAUUUCUGGCUUAUAUUACCUCGUGCAGUUGUGGUGGUGCUUGCUGUAGUGACACUUUGAGCCGUCAGUUUACCAUCUUUUUUCUAAGUUUCUUUCGCUUCUGUUGUACUGUUCAGAACCUUUUGUCACCGAGCUUUGGAGCAUUUGACUUAUG